AAAUCAAAGAAUUACAACUUAAAAAAAUAGGUAUACAAAGUCAUAAGGUUUAGAAAUACAUUUCCAUAUUUUAAUCAGACAACAAUAUUGUUUUAGAAGGAAAACAUUGAUUAUGAUUAUGCUGAAAUAGUUUACUAGAGAGCUUGAACAAGAGGUAAAUCCAUUUUAAAUUAGAGGAAAACUGUUGAUUUGUAUGUAAAAUAGAAGACAAAGACAAGUUUAAAUAAAGACAAGCUAGCUAAUGAAACAGAUGCAGUGAUAUGACAAACACCUAGAAGAUGGAAUCCUGUGUUCUCAAAGAAAAAGCUAGUUCCAGAAAUAAGCUACCAAUAAUAAACUAGAGAAUGUAUUACAAGAAAGAACAACGCUAAUACCCAACAUAGCUCAAUUGCUUCAGAUAGAAAAAGAGGAGGAAAGGGUAGAACACAAGCGUGCCAGAGAAAAUUAAAGGGCAGAAGAGACACAAAAAUUCAUUGAUUUAUUAAAUUUAAUAAUUAAAUUAUACAAAGGACAAUUAAAUAAAGAAUAAAAAAUUA